AUUGAACGCUGGCGGCAUGCUUUACACAUGCAAGUCGAACAGCAGCGCGGAGAAGCUUGCUUCUCUGUCGGCGAGUGGCGCACGGGUGAGUAUAGCAUCGGAACGUGCCAAGUAGUGGGGGAUAACCAAACGAAAGUUUGGCUAAUACCGCGUAAGCUCUAAGGAGGAAAGUAGGGGACCUAAAUAAGGCCUUACGCUAUUUGAUCGGCCGAUGUCGGAUUAGCUAGUUGGUGGGGUAAUGGCUCACCAAGGCAAUGAUCCGUAGCGGGUCUGAGAGGACGAUCCGCCACACUGGGACUGAGACACGGCCCAGACUCCUACGGGAGGCAGCAGUGGGGAAUUUUGGACAAUGGGGGAAACCCUGAUCCAGCCAUGCCGCGUGUAUGAAGAAGGCCUUAGGGUUGUAAAGUACUUUUGUUAGGGAAGAAAAGCUAGUUUUUAAUAAAAAUUAGUGAUGACGGUACCUAAAGAAUAAGCACCGGCUAACUACGUG
rnacentral:rRNA from 1 species